GCAGGUGCGCCCAACCGCCCGUUAACCCAGGCCUUGCCAAAACCAAACUGCCAAGUCUGAAUUACAAAGUUAUCUUUGAUUUCAUGUUUAAAUUUCAGUCAAGAUGUCAUCAAAUAUGCAACUUUCCAAAGUAGCAGGUAUUUAACAAAUCAAGAGCACAUAAGUUUUUUUUAAGCUUUUAACUUGGGUGCUGCCACCCUGUGCCUUCCUUCUCAUUUGAAUACGCCUAAACAGCUAAAACAAAACACACAUUCUGGGCCAGAAUGGACUGUCCAACCUAAGAAAAUACGGGAGGGGACACUGAAUGCACUAGUAAUUGGACUAAAUCAAAAGAGGUAACUUUAAAUAUGCCUAUUCUAGAGAAUGAAACUUAUUACCAGCAAUUUUGGAGAAAAGGUUGUUACUUUUC
rnacentral:lncRNA from 1 species